UACGUAGGGUGCAAGCGUUGUCCGGAAUUAUUGGGCGUAAAGAGCUCGUAGGCGGUCUGUCGCGUCUGCUGUGAAAACUCAGGGCUUAACCCUGAGCUUGCAGUGGGUACGGGCAGACUAGAGUGCGGUAGGGGAGACUGGAAUUCCUGGUGUAGCGGUGAAAUGCGCAGAUAUCAGGAGGAACACCGGUGACGAAGGCGGGUCUCUGGGCCGUAACUGACGCUGAGGAGCGAAAGCAUGGGGAGCGAACAGG
rnacentral:rRNA from 1 species